UACGUAGGGGGUAAGCGUUAUCCGGAUUUACUGGGUGUAAAGGGAGCGUAGACGGCCUUGCAAGUCUGGUGUGAAAGCCCGGGGCUCAACCCCGGGACUGCAUUGGAAACUGCAUGGCUGGAGUGCAGGAGAGGUAAGCGGAAUUCCUAGUGUAGCGGUGAAAUGCGUAGAUAUUAGGAGGAACACCAGUGGCGAAGGCGGCUUACUGGACUGUAACUGACGUUGAGGCUCGAAAGCGUGGGGAGCAAACAGG
rnacentral:rRNA from 1 species